rnacentral:rRNA from 1 species
GAUGAACGCUGGCGGCGUGCUUAACACAUGCAAGUCGAACGGUGAACGAGGGAGCUUGCUCCCUCCGGAUCAGUGGCGAACGGGUGAGUAACACGUGAGCAAUCUGCCCUGGACUCUGGGAUAAGCGUUGGAAACGACGUCUAAUACCGGAUACGAGGCGUGGGGGCAUCCCCAACGCCUGGAAAGAACUUCGGUCCAGGAUGAGCUCGCGGCCUAUCAGCUAGUGGGGGAGGUGACGGCUCACCAAGGCGACCACGGGUAGCCGGCCUGAGAGGGUGACCGGCCACACUGGGACUGAGACACGGCCCAGACUCCUACGGGAGGCAGCAGUGGGGAAUAUUGCACAAUGGGCGCAAGCCUGAUGCAGCAACGCCGCGUGAGGGACGACGGCCUUCGGGUUGUAAACCUCUUUUAGCAGGGAAGAAGCGAAAGUGACGGUACCUGCAGAAAAAGCACCGGCUAACUACGUGCCAGCAGCCGCGGUAAUAC